AAAAUGCGAUAAGUAAUGUGAAUUGCAGAAUUCAGUGAAUCAUCGAAUCUUUGAACGCACAUUGCGCUCGCCAGUAUUCUGGCGAGCAUGCCUGUUCGAGCGUCAUUUCAACCAUCAAGCUCUGCUUGCGUUGGGGAUCCGCGGCUGCCCGCGGUCCCUCAAAAACAGUGGCGGGCUCGCUAGUCACACCGAGCGUAGUAACUCUACAUCGCUAUGGUCGUGCGGCGGGUUCUUGCCGUAAAACCCCCAAUUUCUAAGGUUGACCUCGGAUCAGGUAGGAAUACCCGCUGAACUUAAGC
rnacentral:misc_RNA from 1 species